UUCCGGUUGAUCCUGCCGGACCUGACUGCUAUCGGAUUGAUACUAAGCCAUGCGAGUCAUUGUAGCAAUACAAGGCAUACGGCUCAGUAACGCGUAGUCAACCUAACCUAUGGACGGGAAUAACCUCGGGAAACUGAGAAUAAUGCCCGAUAGAACACUAUAUCUGGAAUGGUUUGUGUUCCAAAUGAUUUAUCGCCGUAGGAUGGGACUGCGGCCUAUCAGUUUGUUGGUGAGGUAAUGGCCCACCAAGACUAUUACAGGUACGGGCUCUGAGAGGAGUAGCCCGGAGAUGGGUACUGAGACACGGACCCAGGCCCUAUGGGGCGCAGCAGGCGAGAAAACUUUGCAAUGUGCGAAAGCACGACAAGGUUAAUCCGAGUGGUUCCUGCUAAAGGAACCUUUUGUUAGUCCUAGAAACACUAACGAAUAAGGGGUGGGCAAGUUCUGGUGUCAGCCGCCGCGGUAAAACCAGCACCUCAAGUGGUCAGGAUGAUUAUUGGGCCUAAAGCAUCCGUAGCCGGCUCCGUAAGUUUUCGGUUAAAUCUGUACGCUCAACGUACAGGCUGCCGGGAAUACUGCAGAGCUAGGGAGUGGGAGAGGUAGACGGUACUCGGUAGGAAGGGGUAAAAUCCUUUGAUCUAUUGAUGA
rnacentral:rRNA from 1 species